UUGGGAUCCGCGUGGCGGCAGCUGUGCAACCUUCCGAGAGGAAGGCGACCGCCUGCGCCGUCUUUGCACAGCUGCCGGCGUACAGGUACCUCAGUACCUCAGGGCCGUGUUGGACACUGAGGGGACCGAAGUUUCGGGCUGAGCAGGAUGAACUAUCAUUACAGACUAGAAUUUCUGAUGUCUCCGUGACUCCACUGCUUGGAACUGACGCAGCCCAGGGAGACUCGUCUGGUAGUCGCCCUGGCUUCUGCUAACUCACUGGUUUCUUCCCAGGCCCCUGAUUCUCGAAGGAGGGUCCGCAGCGCCUCGAAGGGGUUUAAGACGUUCACCGGUGUGUUAUUUUUGAAUAAAGCUUGAGAGCUUUGGAAGCCCAGCAGGGGCAGUGCCCCUUCACAGAGAUUCAGGGAUAGCCUGGUGGCUGAAGGCCUAAAGUUUGGAAUUUUCCUCUUGGAGAAGUGCUGUUGGGAUAGCUGGGAUGCCCAGGUAAUGGUUCCUGCCACUUCAUCAACAAGCUGUGACAAGAAGUGGAGAGUAGCGUGCCUCUACCUGGGUACUGUGAAUUUUGCUGACACAAAGGAUAUUCUUUACCUGGUGUCGGACAGAUCCUUGGAACUUCACGUCUUUCCUGCAUUAACCCGCGUAAGCAGCUGUCAAUCUCCUGGGGUGGAGGAGACUGCCUAGAAAUUUGGGGACCAAAAUCAAUUAGGUGGCCUUUACUUCGUCUUACCCAAAAGACUCCAAUAAAAUAUUUUAAAGCAAAUAAAAAAUAGAUUGGUCUCAGUGAAAACAAGACGGUACAGAAAGGUUUAGGGACAUGAAAGGUUAACCACCAGUGAAUGAGCAUCACAGUUGACAUCUAGCUGUACCUCUUUGCAGCCACAUACAAAAAGUAGAUUUGCCACAUAUAGACACCAAUGUUAAGGAUUUCUAGAUUGAUUGUGG